rnacentral:rRNA from 1 species
AUUUAAUUCAACAUCGAGGUCGCAAUCUUAGUUAUUAAUAAGAACUUUCUAACUAAAUAACGCUGUUAUCCCUAGAGUAACUUAAAAGUUUAUUAAGUUUUUUUAAUAAAAAUUUGUAUCUUCAAAAAUUACCCCAAUUAAAAAUUAAUUUUUUAAAGCUUCUAGGGUCUUAUCGUCCCAAAAAUUUAUAAAAACAUUUUUAUUUUUAAUUUAAAUUCAAAUUGAUUUAUAAAAACAUUCCUUAAGAGUUUCUACCUUUCAUUCCAGUCUUCAAUUAAAAAA